AAUACGGAGGGUGCAAGCGUUAAUCGGAAUUACUGGGCGUAAAGCGCACGCAGGCGGUCUGUUAAGUCAGAUGUGAAAUCCCCGGGCUCAACCUGGGAACUGCAUUUGAAACUGGCAGGCUUGAGUCUCGUAGAGGGGGGUAGAAUUCCAGGUGUAGCGGUGAAAUGCGUAGAGAUCUGGAGGAAUACCGGUGGCGAAGGCGGCCCCCUGGACGAAGACUGACGCUCAGGUGCGAAAGCGUGGGGAGCAAACAGGAUUAGAUACCCUGGUAGUCCACGCCGUAAACGAUGUCGACUUGGAGGUUGUGCCCUUGAGGCGUGGCUUCCGGAGCUAACGCGUUAAGUCGACCGCCUGGGGAGUACGGCCGCAAGGUUAAAACUCAAAUGAAUUGACGGGGGCCCGCACAAGCGGUGGAGCAUGUGGUUUAAUUCGAUGCAACGCGAAGAACCUUACCUGGUCUUGACAUCCAGAGAAUCCUGCAGAGAUGCGGGAGUGCCUUCGGGAACUCUGAGACAGGUGCUGCAUGGCUGUCGUCAGCUCG
rnacentral:rRNA from 1 species